rnacentral:rRNA from 1 species
GAUGAACGCUGGCGGCAUGCCUUACACAUGCAAGUCGAACGGCAGCACGGGAGCAAUCCUGGUGGCGAGUGGCGAACGGGUGAGUAACAUAUCGGAACGUGCCCUGGAGUGGGGGAGUAACUAGUCGAAAGAUUAGCUAAUACCGCAUACGAUCUACAGAUGAAAGUAGGGGGAGUCGCAAGACCUCAUGCUCGUGGAGCGGCCGAUAUCGAUUAGCUAGUUGGUGGGUAAAGGCCUACCAAGGCAUCGAUCAGUAGCUGGUCUGAGAGGACGACCAGCCACACUGGGACGUGAGACACGGCCCAGACUCCUACGGGAGGCAGCAGUGGGAAUUUUGGACAAUGGGCGCAAGCCUGAUCCAGCAAUGCCGCGUGAGUGAAGAAGGCC